UCACAAGGCGCCCCCGGGGGAUGAUCGGGGGGCCCCCCCCCCCCCCCCCCGUUUCGGUCGCGAGCCCCGCUGUGAUGCUGGCGCGUGCUAAGGACCCUCACCUCAAAGAAAAGAGAACAGCUGCAGACUGAAAGAUGGUGAAAGCUACAAGGCAUUUGAGGACUAACCAUUGUAACAAUAGCUGCCAACCCCUCCUCUUUGUAACUGAAAUGGAUUUGCAACAACAUUUGUCGGAUGAACCAACAAACGCGUGACUUAAAGAACACUACAAAUUAAAAUUGAGAAGACAUCACCCUUCCUGGAUGGUAUCAGGGAUGACUAAAUGAAGGUAAAAUUUGGAAAAUUUAAAGGAUUGGGACAAAAUGGAUGGAGGUGAGGAGAGCAAGGGAGACUAACGGGCCACGAGCCUCACCCAUCAAGAUAGGAAAGUGAUUUGUCUUCAUCACCAUUUUCCUAUUUCCAUUGACCAGGGCGAGUAUUCCUUACCUGCGCGUUGGUUUUCUAUCUGCUCUGUGAUUUGGGAAAUGGGACCCAUUCCUGGUGAACUCCUCAGAGCUGAGGAAGGUAGCAGUUUCCUGACUUUGACGUUGCCCCAAUGAAAUGGAAAACCCUUUCCAGUGAUGUUCACGUGACCCACUUUCUCCAGGUGGGUUCUCGUCAAUUUGAUCCACUGCCUUGGGAAGAGAGGUUGGAUAAGACAAAGCUGAGUGGAGUCCCUCCCAGGCUAUGAGAUAUGGGUUGGCUCAGUGUCAAGGCUCUGACUUCAUCGACUUCAGCUCAGUGGGUUAACUUCCAUUAUGGACCAA